UACGAAGGGGGCUAGCGUUGUUCGGAAUUACUGGGCGUAAAGCGCGCGCAGGCGGUCUUCCAAGUCAGUGGUGAAAGCCCGGAGCUCAACUCCGGAAAUGCCAUUGAAACUGUGAGACUGGAGUACGAGAGAGGUGAGUGGAAUUCCCAGUGUAGAGGUGAAAUUCGUAGAUAUUGGGAAGAACACCGGUGGCGAAGGCGGCUCACUGGCUCGUAUCUGACGCUCAGGCGCGACAGCGUGGGGAUCAAACAGG
rnacentral:rRNA from 1 species